rnacentral:snoRNA from 1 species
CCCCUCUCAGGUAGCACCUGGAGAGUUUCCAGUACUCUACCAGCCUCGACUAAGGAAGGGAGAGUCAAGCAGAGGCCUACCCAUUCCAUUCCUAGCUUGGGCAAUGGCUAGAGAGUGGAAGGCAAUCUGCUACAAGU